rnacentral:rRNA from 1 species
UUUCUACAGGCUUAACACAUGCAAGUCGAGGGGCAGCAUUUUAGUUUGCUUGCAAACUGAAGAUGGCGACCGGCGCACGGGUGAGUAACACGUAUCCAACCUGCCGAUAACUCCGGAAUAGCCUUUCGAAAGAAAGAUUAAUACCGGAUAGCAUACGAAUAUCGCAUGAUAUUUUUAUUAAAGAAUUUCGGUUAUCGAUGGGGAUGCGUUCCAUUAGUUUGUUGGCGGGGUAACGGCCCACCAAGACUACGAUGGAUAGGGGUUCUGAGAGGAAGGUCCCCCACAUUGGAACUGAGACACGGUCCAAACUCCUACGGGAGGCAGCAGUGAGGAAUAUUGGUCAAUGGGCGAGAGCCUGAACCAGCCAAGUAGCGUGAAGGAUGAAGGCUCUAUGGGUCGUAAACUUCUUUUAUAUGGGAAUAAAGUUUUCCACGUGUGGAAUUUUGUAUGUACCAUAUGAAUAAGGAUCGGCCAACUCCGUGCCAGCAGCCGCGGUAAUACGGAGGAUCCGAGCGUUAUCCGGAUUUAUUGGGUUUAAAGGGAGCGUAGGUGGAUUGUUAAGUCAGUUGUGAAAGUUUGCGGCUCAACCGUAAAAUUGCAGUUGAAACUGGCAGUCUUGAGUACAGUAGAGGUGGGCGGAAUUCGUGGUGUAGCGGUGAAAUGCUUAGAUAUCACGAAGAACUCCGAUUGCGAAGGCAGCUCACUAGACUGUCACUGACACUGAUGCUCGAAAGUGUGGGUAUCAAACAGGAUUAGAUACCCUGGUAGUCCACACAGUAAACGAUGAAUACUCGCUGUUUGCGAUAUACAGUAAGCGGCCAAGCGAAAGCAUUAAGUAUUCCACCUGGGGAGUACGCCGGCAACGGUGAAACUCAAAGGAAUUGACGGGGGCCCGCACAAGCGGAGGAACAUGUGGUUUAAUUCGAUGAUACGCGAGGAACCUUACCCGGGCUUAAAUUGCAACAGAAUAUAUUGGAAACAGUAUAGCCGUAAGGCUGUUGUGAAGGUGCUGCAUGGUUGUCGUCAGCUCGUGCCGUGAGGUGUCGGCUUAAGUGCCAUAACGAGCGCAACCCUUAUCUUUAGUUACUAACAGGUUAUGCUGAGGACUCUAGAGAGACUGCCGUCGUAAGAUGUGAGGAAGGUGGGGAUGACGUCAAAUCAGCACGGCCCUUACGUCCGGGGCUACACACGUGUUACAAUGGGGGGUACAGAAGGCGGCUACCUGGUGACAGGAUGCUAAUCCCAAAAACCUCUCUCAGUUCGGAUCGAAGUCUGCAACCCGACUUCGUGAAGCUGGAUUCGCUAGUAAUCGCGCAUCAGCCAUGGCGCGGUGAAUACGUUCCCGGGCCUUGUACACACCGCCCGUCAAGCCAUGAAAGCCGGGGGUACCUGAAGUACGUAACCGCAAGGAGCGUCCUAGGGUAAAACUGGUAAUUGGGGC